rnacentral:rRNA from 1 species
AUUGAACGCUGGCGGCAGGCCUAACACAUGCAAGUCGAACGAGUGGCGGACGGGUGAGUAAUGUCUGGGAAACUGCCUGAUGGAGGGGGAUAACUACUGGAAAAGGUAGCUACUACCGCAUACCAUCGGAUGUUCCCAGAUGGGAUUAGCUAGUAGGUGGGGUAAAGGCUCACCUAGGCGACGAUCCCUAGCUGGUCUGAGAGGAUGACCAGCCACACUGGAACUGAGACACGGUCCAGACUCCUACGGGAGGCAGCAGUGGGGAAUAUUGCACAAUGGGCGCAAGCCUGAUGCAGCCAUGCCGCGUGUAUGAAGAAGGCCUUCGGGUUGUAAAGUACUUUCAGCGAGGAGGCGUUACUCGCAGAAGAAGCACCGGCUAACUCCGUGCCAGCAGCCGCGGUAAUAC